rnacentral:rRNA from 1 species
GAAUCCCGUCUUUGGCACGGACACACCAGGGCUUUUGUGAUGCGCUCUCGAAGAGUCGAGUUGUUUGGGAAUGCAGCUCAAAAUGGGUGGUGAACUCCAUCUAAAGCUAAAUAUUGGCGAGAGACCGAUAGCGAACAAGUACCGUGAGGGAAAGAUGAAAAGCACUUUGGAAAGAGAGUGAAACAGUACGUGAAAUUGUUGAAAGGGAAACGCUUGAAGUCAGUCGCGUCGACCGAGACUCAGCCUUGCCUUGGCUUGGUGUACUUCUCGGCUGACGGGUCAGCAUCAAUUUUGCCCCUUGGAUAAUGGCGAGGGAAAUGUGACACCUUUACGGUGUGUUAUAGUCUCUUGUCGCAUGCAAGGGUUGGGAUUGAGGAACUCAGCACGCACCUUUGGGUGUCGGGGCUUUGCCCACGAUACGUGCUUAGGAUGUUGGCGUAAUGGCUUUAAACGACCCGUCUUGAAACACGGACCAAGGAGUCUAACAUGCCUGCGAGUGUUCGGGUGGAAAACUCGUGCGCGCAAUGAAAGUGAAAGUUGGGACCUCUGUCGUGGAGGGCACCGACGCCCGGACCAGACCUUCUGUGACGGCUCUGCGGUAAAGCAUGUAUGUUAGGACCCGAAAGAUGGUGAACUAUGCCUGAAUAGGGUGAAGCCAGAGGAAACUCUGGUGGAGGCUCGUAGCGAUUCUGACGUGCAAAUCGAUCGUCAAAUUUGGGUAUAGGGGCGAAAGACUAAUCGAACCAUCUAGUAGCUGGUUCCUGCC